rnacentral:misc_RNA from 1 species
GAUGAGAACGCAGCGAAAUGCGAUACGUAAUGUGAAUUGCAGAAUUCAGUGAAUCAUCGAAUCUUUGAACGCAUAUUGCGCUCUUUGGUAUUCCGAAGAGCAUGCUUGUUUGAGUAUCAGUAAACACCUCAAAGACUUCAAUUUGUUUUGAAUGGCUUUGGACUUGAGCAAUCCCAACACCAGUCUUUACGAUCGGUGGAGGGUUGCUUGAAAUGCAGGUGCAGCUGGACAUUCUCCUGAGCUAAAAGCAUAUUUAUUUAGUCCCGUCAAACGGAUUAUUACUUUUGCUGCAGCUAACAUAAAGGGAGUUUGACCGUAUUGGCUGACUGAUGCAGGAUUUCACAAGGGUCGGCAACGAUUCUUGUAAAACUCGAUCUCAAAUCAAGUAAGACUACCCGCUGAACUUAAGCAUAUCAAUAAGCGGAGGA